UUAUCAUCAAGAGAGGUGGAGGGACAGGCCCGGUGAAGCCUCAGCAACCUGCGGAUGAAAGAUUCCACAAGGUGCUAAUUCCUGGAGUGAUGCACAAUCACUGAAGAUGAAAC
rnacentral:ncRNA from 2 species